UACGUAGGGUGCGAGCGUUGUCCGGAAUCACUGGGCGUAAAGGGCGCGUAGGCGGCGCGGGGAGUCAACGGUGAAAGCUCGGCGCUCAACGCCGAGUCGGCCGUCGAUACUCCCGUGCUUGAGCACUGUAGAGGCAGGUGGAAUUCCGGGUGUAGCGGUGGAAUGCGUAGAGAUCGGAAAGAACACCAACGGCGAAAGCACUCUGCUGGGCCGACACUGACACUGAGAGACGAAAGCUAGGGGAGCGAAUGGG
rnacentral:rRNA from 1 species